GAGAAAUAGAAAUGAGAGAGAACGAGAGAAUGAGAGAGAAAGAGAGAAGCAGACAGACAAUCAGACAGACAGACAGACAGACAGACAGACAGACAGACAGACAGACAGACAGACAGACAGACAGACAGACAGACAGACAGACAGACAGACAGACAGACAGACAGACAGACAGACAGUUAUCAACUUAAACAACCUGUCAGUCAUCAAGAGGCUUUUUAAUAAGGAACGUUUCCCCUACCGAAAAUAUAAUUUUCUCAGACAAAGAAUGACAGCAGGGGGAGUGAGGUGUCAGUUGGUUGAAGUGGGGGCAGGUCUGACACAUGCUGGGUUGUGGCGUCCCUUCAAAAGAGCGUUCAGGGUCGGGUUCUUAGAACCUUGCAGCUGGGUUGAGCUGUGUCUGAUGGUCCUUAGUUUGCAACUACAAUUCACCACUCAACCCCAAUAUUCUCUCUGGGUUGAAAUACUACUUGAAAUAUUUCUACUACUUUGAGCUUUGUUUACUUAAGCCUGCUUAGAGUGCCAGAUGGGAGGAGUUUGCGCUUUUUCUACUAUCAUAUUUUUUUAAACUUUAAUUUUUAUUUAACCUUCAUUUAACUAGGCAAGUCAGUGAAGAACAAAUUAUUAUUUACAAUGACGCCCUACACCGGCCAAACCAGGAAGAUGCUGGGCCAAUUGUGCGCUGCCCUAUGGAACUCCCAAUCACAGCCAGUUGUGAUACAGCCUGGAUUUGAACCAGGUUGUCUGUAGUGACGCAUCGAGCACUGAGAGGCAGUCCCUUAGAUCGCUGCGCUACUCAGGAGCCCAAGAUCUAUCCCUGUGUUAUCUCUGUUAUCUCUGUUAUCUCUGUUAUCUCUGUUACCUGUUACCUAUGUUAUCUCUGUUAUCUCUGUUGCCUCUGUUAUCUCUGUUACCUGUUACCUAUGUUAUCUCUGUUACCUAUGUUAUCUCUGUUACCUAUGUUAUCUCUGUUACCUCUGUUAUCUCUGUUUCAUAUUUUCAGGAAAUUAACAGCUAAGUUGAUGAUAGUGAUGGUUCUCAUGGUAAGGUCAACCAGUAAGGAAGUGAAUGUAGUUUAAUGUAGUUCACAAGAAUGGACUUAUAUUAGUCCGACUGACCUGUAACUGUUAACAAGUAAGAACAUUUUAGAAGAUGUAUCACCGGUCAGUUAGAAUAGAUCAGUUACAAUAGGUCAGUUAUAAUAGGUCAGUUAUAAUAGGUCAGUUACAAUAGGUCAGUUACAAUAGGUCAGUUAUAAUAGGUCAGUUACAAUAAGUCAGUUACAAUAAGUCAGUUACAAUAAGUCAGUUACAAUAGGUCAGUUACAAUAGUUCAGUUAUAAUAGGUCAGUUAUAAUAGGUCAGUUACAAUAGGUCAGUUAUAAUAGGUCAGUUAUAAUAGGUCAGUUAUAAUAGGUCAGUUAUAAUAGGUCAGUUACAAUACGUCAGUUAUAAUAGGUCAGUUACAUUAGUUCAGUUAUAAUAGGUCAGUUACAAUAGGUCAGUUACAAUAGGUCAGUUACAUUAGGUCAGUUACAAUAGUUCAGUUAUAAUAGGUCAGUUACAAUAGGUCAGUUACAAUAGGCCAGUUAUAAUAGGUCAGUUACAAUAGGUCAGUUACAAUAGGCCAGUUUUAAUAGGUUACAAUAGGUCAGUUACAAUAGGUCAGUUACAAUAGGCCAGUUAUAAUAGGCCCGUUACAAUAGGUCAGUUAUAAUAGGUCAGUUAUAGGCCAGUUAUAAUAGGUCAGUUAUAAUAGGUCGCAAUAGGUCAGUUAUAAUAGGUCAGUUAUAAUAGGUCAGUUAUAAUAGGUCAGUUACAAUAAGUCAGUUAUAAUAGGUCGCAAUAGGUCAGUUAUAAUAGGUCAGUUACUAUAAGUCAGUUACAAUAGGUCGCAAUAGGUCAGUUACAAUAGAUCGCAAUAGGUCAGUUAUAAUAGGUCGCAAUAGGUCAGUUAUAAUAGGUCACAACCAUGUGUGACAAUGAUUUGUUUUUAAAGGUACAUCACCGGAAGUUGAGUUCCUAACUGUUACCUGGAACUUGAGCUUAUAUUUCCACGGUACUGUUUAUAACGGCAACGUACGAGCUGAAUCCAUUUCUGUUUUGGACACUAUUUUCUAGAGGUAUUAAGUUGCGUGUAUGGGAAUGUUCAUGCAUUCUUAACAUGAUUGAGAAAGGUUCUUACCAUUGCGAGUGAAGUACACUUGGAGCUCCAUCAUAGGUCGCCUCCUGCAGGCUAGUUGAUGAACUUCUAAAAAAAUAAAUACUGGACUCCUUGAACAAAGACGUAUUGCAUCAAGCAUCAAUGCAGUCUCUCCUGACAGACAUUGCAUGCAUGGGAGAUUUAGCUGUAGGUGUAUUGAUUACCAUCAAUACAAUAUGUUCUGGUCUUGCCCUGAAGCAUCCUCAGAUCCAGAAGGAGUCCCCGUACAUCAGGUUCCUGUGUUGUGACGAUGAGCACACUCUCUCCCUCUGGGUCAACUCCAUCAGAGUAGCCAAGUAUGGGGCCACCCUGUAUCACAACUAUCAGAAGGCAGUGAGGAGAGCCUUAACCAUCACCUCCACUCUGCAUGUGACCAGUCUGCCUGUCUCCAGCCCUCCCACACAUUCUACUGGGCACAUAGCAACAGUGAGGGCCAAUGGACAUCCUGAUCAGGACGACCUCUCUGAACCGCCCCCAGACUUUAUACCCCCGCCCCCUCCUGGGUGGGGCUCUGGGGUCUAGGGAUGGAGCUCCGCCCACUCACCCAUGACUUCUGUAGAGGACGUUCUCAACCUACCUACCUACAGACAGACAGGCCCAGUGUUCAUGGACCAGAGCGAUGCUUUUCGAAAAUAGCACCUCGGGAGGUGACAGGCCCUGCUCCAAUACUUCAAAAUACAUUCUUCCUUUCUUCCCUCCUUCUUUAAGUAACUGAUCUGACAAGAUAUGAUUGGACAACGCAAUGCAGUGGAGACAUUUCCAAACCAGUGACUGAUGGGAAAGGGGGGGAUACCUAGUCAGUUGCACAACUGAAUGCAUUCAACUGAAAUGUGUCUUCCGCAUUUAACCCAACCCCACGAUGCAUGUUCUUGGGUUAUUUAUGUACUGAAUUGUAUUAUUUAUGUAAUAAGUCAGAAUUAUUAAAGCCUAAGUUAACCACACUAAAGCUAUGUUGUAAUUGCAACCUGAUGAAGAUGCACAGCAUGUUUGUAUGACGCUUCAUCAACACAGACAUAAUUGGCUAAGCC